CAAGAAAUGGAAAGAAGCCUGCUGGGAUAGCCGGAUGAGUGAGUGGCCUCUUUUGAAAGAGCGGCAGCCCUGGAAAUGUGGCUAAUGGCUGGAGAGGGCUCAUGAUGAUAACUCACAGCGGCCACUUGGAUUUAAUUAUAGCAACAUUUGCAGACAGUUUGGAGAUGUGAGCUCUCAGCUGUUUCUGCCUGGAUGACUGCAGCCUGCUGUCCCGACUCCCUGCUCUGAUGGAUGCUUAUCUCUCUGGAACUAUAAGCCCAAAUAAACUCUUUCUUCUAAAA